rnacentral:rRNA from 1 species
UGGGGAAUAUUGGACAAUGGGGGCAACCCUGAUCCAGCCAUGCCGCGUGUGUGAAGAAGGCCUUUUGGUUGUAAAGCACUUUAAGCAGGGAGGAGAGGCUAAUGGUUAAUACCCAUUAGAUUAGACGUUACCUGCAGAAUAAGCACCGGCUAACUCUGUGCCAGCAGCCGCGGUAAUACAGAGGGUGCGAGCGUUAAUCGGAAUUACUGGGCGUAAAGCGAGUGUAGGUGGCUCAUUAAGUCACAUGUGAAAUCCCCGGGCUUAACCUGGGAACUGCAUGUGAUACUGGUGGUGCUAGAAUAUGUGAGAGGGAAGUAGAAUUCCCAGGUGUAGCGGUGAAAUGCGUAGAGAUCUGGAGGAAUACCGAUGGCGAAGGCAGCUUCCUGGCAUAAUAUUGACACUGAGAUUCGAAAGCGUGGGUAGCAAACAGGAUUAGAUACCCUGGUAGUCCACGCCGUAAACGAUGUCUACUAGCCGUUGGGGUCCUUGAGACUUUAGUGGCGCAGUUAACGCGAUAAGUAGACCGCCUGGGGAGUACGGCCGCAAGGUU